UUCACUAUAUGAAUAUGUUACAACUUAUUUAUUCUGCUGUAAUGGUCAUUUAAAUUGUUUUCCAUUUUUGUUUUGAUUUGGUUUUUAUUUGCUGUUACAACCAAUGCCGUCGUGAACAUUCCUCUACAUGAUAUGACUUAUAUAGGCUGUACCCUCCAUCUCUCUUAUUUACUAUGCUAACCUCUUUAUUCCUUAUUUCUCCAACUGGAUAGUCAGGGGAAGUAUUUAAUUCAUAGAGUUGUUAUGAGGAAAAAAAUGAGAUAAUAUGUAAAGUGUUUAAUAGUUUAUUAAAUGCUGUGUAAGUGUUAAUGAUCAUGAUGUUUUCUGAAUCAGAUAUACAAAAGGAUAUAUAUCGUGGAGUAGAAUUUUUGAGUUAUAAUAUAUAUAAAGCACCUUAAAUUAUACCAUGGCCAACUGUGAGUAGUCUUAUAAUAUUUAUUCUCCCACCUUCCAUAGUGAUGUCAUUUUAGCUGGGAACAUGAUUGUCUACCUAAAGGCUGAAUUUCAUAGACUCUUUGCAAUUGUGAUUAAGUUUUUGACUAUGUCAAGAAGAAUGUCACAAGAAAUAAUGGAUACCCUCCUUCUUCUUGUCCUUAGAAAGAUUCAUAAAUGCCCUUUUUGUACCUUCCCCUUUUUCAUUUGUGAGAGAAUAUUAAAAUUAGAGCAAAUGCCUUGGAGCUGGAGAUGAAAGCCACACGUUGACGGUGUCAGAACUACUUUACUAGCUCUGCUCUAAUAUCUGAGAGAAAUACACUUUUAUCACAGGCACUAUUUGGGACAUCAUUUUUUUCAGCAGCUCUGCCUGUAGCCUAACAAAUCAAUAUGAAAUUGAUGAAAGGAGAAAAAGAUCAUGCCUUGUUUCAGGUGUCUAGACAGGGUUUGUUGGCACAGUCAGAAGCAGCAUUGCAGCCCCACUUAGAAUGACUGAAUGGGACAGUGGGGAAGGAAAUCCUUCUAUGUAAACUUUGCUUAGAAGGAGAGAUAAUCAGAGGUAAAACUCUGAACCAGUUAAUGACCAUUAGUCAACAACUUGGUCAGAUUUUCUCAAAUAUAAAAGGAAAGUAUUGGAGAAUUGGAAGUGGUUUAAGGUAAAAAAAAAAAAAAAAAGUAUAUGCACGGAAUUCUUGGAAUGCUCUCAAAUUGUGACAAUAGUUAUGGGCCACAAAAUGCUCACCAAAGAGCUUUCCCUGGAGAUGGUGUGAGUGAUUAGGUGGACAAAGUCACUCACUAUGCAAUUAUCAGGCAACUUGUGCCAGUCACCUUAGUGCUUGUUCAGUAAUCUCUUAGGCAAGGUGACUAUGACAUCAGGAUGUAGGUGAUGCAUGAAUUCAGAAACCUGGGUUUUCCCUCUUUAAUGCUGAUCUGGCUACUGUUAUUGCCAAGACUCCCAAAUCAACAAACACAAGACAGCCCCCAUUAUAGCAUCAAAUCCAGAGAGGAUCACCCAACUGCUAGGUGGUGAAAGAUUACUUUCAUUGUUCCCAUUCUAUAAUGGAGGACACAGUGAUUUAACCUCCUUGGUAUAGACACUAACUGUGGUUAAGAACUUGUUUUCUCUGCCUGUCCUACUUCUGCCAGAAUCAGUAUGGUUCAACUUUUUGAAUUUCAUAUUUACUGAAACAGAUUCCCUCACAAUGUUUGUCUCACCACAGAGAAAGCAGUAAAGCAAUGGUAUUCAGUGUUCUUACUAUGUGCCCCGCCACCCACAACAGCUGACCUGAUAAAAAAAUUGGGAGUCCUUCUGAAACUUGUUAUAGUGCCAGCUGGGAAUGAUCACAUUUUCUUAUAUCAUAAGCGCAUGCUUGACAUAUUGUAAUAACAUCCCUCACAGGGCCUGAUUCUGAGACAGUUUGAGGAUGAUUUCUUCUUUCUUUUAAAAGGAGUUUGCUGUUGUGAGGAUCCCUCUGGGGGUUGACUGUAUGGUUGCUGUCACCUUGAUUGUGCUACCCAUCCAAGACCUUCUGAACAGCAACAUCAGCAAAUGGCAUUGAACAAGGUCCCAUUGACAGAGCAACAAAAGGAUAUUUUGUGAGUCAAGAGUCAAUCUUGGAUUGUCUUUUGGAAAAUAAUCCUUCUUAAACCCCAGCAGUGGACUGUAUGAGGCAGGUCCUAAUAAUGAUUAUGAACACAGUGAUAGGGUUUGGAGGUGCCUUUCCUGAGUCUAAGAGUACAACCACAGUAUCUAUUAAAAGGGGGCAUUAGAAUAAAGUUGUUACUCAUAUUUGAAUGGAAACCAGUGUAUUUUAUUGAAAUUCAAAUUUAGAGGUUAUUGAAAUUGCAUUUCUAAUAUUUUUACCUGAUAUUUCAUGAGUUUUAAAAAUGUCUCUACUGAGAAAAGCCAUAAAAGAUACGAAAAAGUUUUUUAUGCUUGCUCCCAAAAGGAAUACUAGUUACAUAUUUCUUUUGGAAAAAUUCAGGAAACCAUAUUGGCUAUGCUACUGUGACCAAGAUGCUUUAAGCCAGUUUCUUAGACUUUUAUAACCGUGAAGGCAAAGUAAGAAGUAUAUUUUGUACCAUAAUCUCAUUCACAUUCACAUACAAAAACAAAAGUUUGAAGAGUAUUUUCCCUUAUUGCUUGUUAUACUCUCUAAUAUUUUCUGAUUCAUUAUAUUUUAUAGCAAAAUACUAGCUGUGACCCAUGAAGCUAUGUCAUUACCCAGUAGAGGAUCAUGUUGUCCAGUUAUAAAACAGUGAUCAAACAGGACCAUUUGGAAAUUACACUUGGUCUAUAUUGUCCUGGUUAGUUUUCCUCCCACAUAAUGGCCAUUUCUAAAAAAGCAAUCCCUUUGAAUUACCUUAAGCAAAACUACAAUAGUAACCUAUGUUUUCCUUCUUUCUAAUACAAAUCACUGCAGUUAUACAAGAUACAUUAUUUGAUCUCGUUUAGGUGAUUUAUAAAAUAUAACUGUGCACAAGUUUACUUACAUUAGUAACAUUUUCUCUGAAAUAAUCAAUAAUAACCACCUAUUGCUUAGGGAGAAAGAAAAAUUUAACACCAAAUAAAUAUGGUGCAUUAUCUAAAGAAAGAAAAGUAGUAGAGGACAGCAUUGGAAUAAGUGGCAGAUUUCAAAUACUGAAUGUGAAUUACAUAGCAAUAUUGAAUCCAAAUUAGAGUUCCUGAUUAUGAUAAUUGUACAAUGAUUAUAUAGACAAUGUACACAUUCUUGGAAAAUACAUAUUGAAGUAUUUCAGGAAAAAGGUGUGUCAUGUCUGCAAUUUCAUCUUAAAUGCCAAAUGGUUCAGAGAAAAAAGAAAGAUAUGAGGAUGUGUGCAUGUAGAGAAAGAGAAUAAUAUAAUAACAAAUAGGGAAAAAGUUAACACCUGUUGAAUCUGGCUAACAGAUACAAGAUUUAUACCAUUCUUCAUCCCCUUCACACAAUUUUAAAAUACUUUUGAAAUUAUAUCAAAGUAAAAACCUAGAAUAAGAAAUAUACUUCUAAAUAACCUAUGAUGUAUGAAAGAAAUCAUAAUGAAAAUCUAAAAAUGUUUUGAUCUCAAUGAUAAAAAUGAUACUUUAGAAUGUACAUGAAGAACAUAGAGGAAGAUCUUCAGCUUCAAAUGCAUAGCCUUUGACAGCUGUCUAAAGAUGUUAGCAAAAGAACAUUCACCCUCUCCCAGAAGACACACAAUUGAAGAAAUAAAAUAAUAAAGACUAGGGAUUAAUAAAAUAGAACACAAAGAAACAACAGAGGGGAUCAACAAUGCCAAACGUUGUUUCUUUGAGAAGCCAAAUAAAAUCGGCGAAUUUCUGGCAAGAUUCAUCUAGUGAAAAAGAGAAGGCAACGAGAAGCAAGUCAGAAACAAAGAGGGUUAUAACUGGAGAGCUGCAGACUUAGAUAUAUAGUAAGAGCAAAUAAUGGCUUUCAUGAAGACUUCUACAAAGCAUUAAAGUAAAAAAAAAGUAUAUCUAAGUGUAAGUGUAUAUCUUACUGGAAGGAGUUUGUAAAAAAAUAAUUCUGAAUUUCUUUUAUAAGGCUUGCAAAAAUUGCAUUUCAAAAUCAAACAAUAGUACUGUAAAAAAUUACAGAUCAUUUAUGAACAUAGAUACAUAUAUCCUAAAUAAAAUACUAGAGGAAUGAAUGCAGCUAUAUAUAAAAGUACUCCAUAUAAUUAACAACUUGGGUUAUCCAAGAAAUCAAAGAAAACUUCCUCAAUCUGAUGAAGGGUAUCUAUGAAUUACCUGCUUCACUGAUAACUUGAAAUCUUUCCUUUUGAGGUCAGGGACUAGAUAAAUUGUCUACUAUCACUCCUUCUAUUUAAUGUUGUGGUGGAGGAGGCCUUAGUAUGGACAUGGAGGUAAGAAAAAAAAAGUUGGGAGAAAGAAACAUACUGUCAUCAGUAUGACAUGAUUAUAUGACAAAUGUUAGAAAAUAAUAGAGCUAAUAUGAAGGCUUAAGCAAGGUUUCUGGAAAGAAAAUACAUAUCAAAUAAUUAAUUGUACUCCUCAAUGUAAAGAGAUGGAUUCAGGGAGAGCACGUUCUGCAGACCCUGGCUGAUGGUACCCUUCCAUAGGAGUGGUUUUAUUUUGCAUCUCCUUCC